rnacentral:lncRNA from 1 species
GUUCGCCCCUAAUUCGCAUGCUCUGUUUCUGCUGAAGGUAGGGACCGAGUGCUCGAUUACGCCUGCAUGAAAUCCGGUGGCGUUCGAGCCUCUAUGAUAAGUCUGGAAAUGACCUCUCUCUUAUUUCUGGAUCUAGAUCCUUUGGCUGAAAUGUCUACCACCUGUUGGAUAUAAUUCCUGAACUAGACCAAUGCGUGUUUCGAUUCAGAUUCUGACUUAGGGCUUUCCUUUGCUUAAUCGAUUCAUUAUUUUCGUCUUGUAAACUUUACUUUGUUUCGUUUCCUUUCAUUUCAGAAU